UACGGGGGGGGCAAGCGUUGUUCGGAAUUACUGGGCGUAAAGGGCUCGUAGGUGGCCAACUAAGUCGGACGUGAAAUCCCUCGGCUUAACCGGGGAACUGCGUCCGAUACUGGUUGGCUUGAGUUUGGGAGAGGGAUGCGGAAUUCCAGGUGUAGCGGUGAAAUGCGUAGAUAUCUGGAGGAACACCGGUGGCGAAGGCGGCAUUCUGGACCAUAACUGACACUGAGAGACGAAAGCCAGGGGAGCAAACGGG
rnacentral:rRNA from 1 species